CAGGAUUAGAUACCCUGGUAGUCCACGCCGUAAACGAUGUCGACUUGGAGGUUGUGCCCUUGAGGCGUGGCUUCCGGAGCUAACGCGUUAAGUCGACCGCCUGGGGAGUACGGCCGCAAGGUUAAAACUCAAAUGAAUUGACGGGGGCCCGCACAAGCGGUGGAGCAUGUGGUUUAAUUCGAUGCAACGCGAAGAACCUUACCUGGUCUUGACAUCCACAGAACUUUCCAGAGAUGGAUUGGUGCCUUCGGGAACUGUGAGACAGGUGCUGCAUGGCUGUCGUCAGCUCGUGUUGUGAAAUGUUGGGUUAAGUCCCGCAACGAGCGCAACCCUUAUCCUUUGUUGCCAGCGGUCCGGCCGGGAACUCAAAGGAGACUGCCAGUGAUAAACUGGAGGAAGGUGGGGAUGACGUCAAGUCAUCAUGGCCCUUACGACCAGGGCUACGCACGUGCUACAAUGGCGCAUACAAAGAGAAGCGACCUCGCGAGAGCAAGCGGACCUCAUAAAGUGCGUCGUAGUCCGGAUUGGAGUCUGCAACUCGACUCCAUGAAGUCGGAAUCGCUAGUACUCGUGGAUCAGAAUGCCACGGUGAAUACGUUCCCGGGCCUUGUACACACCGCCCGUCACACCAUGGGAGUGGGUUGCAAAAGAAGUAGGUAGCUUAACCUUCGGGAGGGCGCUUACCACUUUGUGAUUCAUGACUGGGGUGAAGUCGUAACAAGGUAACC
rnacentral:rRNA from 1 species